rnacentral:lncRNA from 1 species
AUUUCCUACAACACGAGGAAGCAGAUAUGCGCAAAGCAGUGAUUUUUCUGACUGAUAUCAAUAAGACGCGACUCCAGUUCCAUAAAUUAUCAUGUACCUAUGUACAUGUAGCUUUUCAAUUAACCGUCCUAUGGCCAAAACCCGAAAAACAAACCAUUUUCUGGUACCACGAUUUCCCGAGAAAUACAAGAAAAACAUUAUAUCCCCAAAACAAACUGAUAUAUCCCGAGAAAAAGACUUUUUAUGGUG